UCGUCGUUAAUCAGACUGAGCGAGCCCAGGGAGGCACCUGGAGCCUGCACACAGUAGGAGCUAAGGCGGAUUCAAAGCAAGGAAUUCCUCGCUGCACCGCCUGCUGGGGAAGAGAUUAAAGCAUUGAGCUGUCGAUUACACUAGAUGCAUCUUAAGGUUGUCUAAGGUCUGUUGAUCCAGGCUGUGCUCAGCUGAGAGGCUCUGCUGAUCUUGGCUGGAGAGUUUGAUCUGGCAUCACUCCUUCUCCUCCCGGGACCAGUGGCAAACCUGAGAAUUCCCUUCUCGUGGCUCGAGCAUAGGCAGCAGACAUCAAGUGGAAGCACUGUCUGGAUUGAGUCACCAUCUCUUCCAUCUUAUUCUGUAGGCAGAAUAAAUCACGUGCCCAAACUCAGUCCACAGACACGCAGGUGUGCUCCACCCAUGCUGGGAGGGCACUGUGAAAUUGCAAGGACAAGGGCAUGGCUAGGAGGGGCACGGAACUGGGCCGGUAAUGCUAUCUACUGUCUGGGUGAUAAACACUGCUGGGCAAGCUGCAUUUUCUUUUUCACUUAAUAGACUGUAGCCAUCUUUUCAGG